AUUGAACGCUGGCGGCAUGCUCUACACAUGCAAGUCGAACGGUAACAGGCCGCAAGGUGCUGACGAGUGGCGAACGGGUGAGUAAUGCAUCGGAACGUGCCCAGUCGUGGGGGAUAACUACUCGAAAGAGUAGCUAAUACCGCAUACGAUCUAUGGAUGAAAACGGGGGACCGUAAGGCCUCGCGCGAUUGGAGCGGCCGAUGUCAGAUUAGGUAGUUGGUGGGGUAAAGGCUCACCAAGCCAACGAUCUGUAGCUGGUCUGAGAGGACGACCAGCCACACUGGGACUGAGACACGGCCCAGACUCCUACGGGAGGCAGCAGUGGGGAAUUUUGGACAAUGGGCGCAAGCCUGAUCCAGCAAUGCCGCGUGCAGGAAGAAGGCCUUCGGGUUGUAAGCUGCUUUUGUACGGAACGAAACGGCUCUGGUUAAUACCCGGGGCUAAUGACGGUACCGUAAGAAUAAGCACCGGCUAACUACGU
rnacentral:rRNA from 1 species